ensembl:lncRNA
CCCCGCCCGCCCUGACCUCUGACCUCAGCCACCCCCCCACCUCGCUCGGCCUACCACGUUGCCCCGGGCAACCGGAGUGACCUCGGGACGAUACGGCCGGCGGUGGGGGGGGGGGGCAGAGUCGGAGGAGGAGGGGCUUGUCACGGUGGGAGGGGCCUAUGGAACUGCUAGGACGUGCCACGCCCCUCACCGACUGCAUUCACCCUGGUGUGACUUACUGUAGGCGGCCCUCCGGUGGGGGGGGGGGGGCGGGGGCUUCCCCUGCUCAGAUGAAUGUAUUCUCUCAGUGGACAGCGGCCAUUUACAAUCUCAUCUCAAAGACAACGUACCCCACACUGCGCUCUGGCUCUUCUUUCUGCUACUGCUACUCCUCCUCCUUCUCCUUCUCCCUCCUUCCUGUCGUUCUUCUUGCACCCCCCCCCCCAACAGGUAUUUCUCAGCCCCAGAGGGCGAUGCUCCUCUGAAAUGGCAGUCUGGGCGUUAAGCUAAGCUAAGCUAACGAACUGUUCUGGUCGGAGACACUCGGCCAGAUCUGCCUUCUCUGCUCUCAUUUCUUUCUAUUUCACCCCCCCGAUGAGUGAGAAUAAAGAUGUAGAAUGAAGACGUGGUUUUGGCGAAUGAGAGAGAAACACUGCAGAAGAAUUGAUUGUGAGUGGAAUGAUUGAUUUGUAUGAUUAGACUAAUUUUAGUCCAGAGGUUUAUAGUGUAUUAAAUUAAGUUUUAUUUUUCUGUAUAGAUUUUAAUUAUUGUAGAUGAUUCUUUAUUCUAGUAGGACGAGAUAAGUAAAAAAAAAACACAGAUAUUUCUAAGGUGGUGAAAAGUGCGAGAGAAGCACUUUUUUUAUCAUUUAUCCGUGAAGGUGGUUGUGUUCUUUCUGUUUUUUGAAGAGACUCUCCUAUUAACCUUGUUUAUGGAUUCUUCUUUGGUCUUGUAGUUCAGAGGAAAAACAAAAGAUGUCAAAAUCCCGUGGUUCUGAAGGAGAACAGAGCGUGUAAAUACCGAUAAUGACGUUGUUUAGUUCUGUUUUUCUUUCCUAUUUAUUUUAUCGCUUGUAUCGGGUUCAAGUCCCCCCCCGUUUGGUCAGAACUGCGGACGGAAGCAUUGGUUUUAAUUUUAUUAACGAUUCAUUUCCCCCCGUUUAUUUUGGGGGCCUGGUUCCCGGCCUGGUACGAUGCAGACGGGGGGAAGCUGGGACGGUGGGAGGGGCUUAAGGUUCAGGGCUGGGCGGGGUAUCGGGGAAGGGGGAGUGCUGUGUGUACAGUGUACAGAUAAUCGCUUGCUUCUCUGCCUUUAGCAUAGAACACCACAUAAAGACAACGUUGGACGAUCACACCCAACCUGGAACAGGAGACGCACCACGCCAUCCAAUAAGACAGAAAUACAAACAGAAGUGUGCUUUCUAUGUUGUCUGGAGUUUAAAAAAAAGAACGCUUCAUACAAGCUGCUAAACUGUACUGGUGUGACGUAAACAAGCAAUAACGAUUACUGGAGGAUCCUCUGGGUUCUUCCUUUCCUUUUUCCUCCCUUUUUUUGUUGGUUUUGUAAUUUUUGUACAGUUUCCGGAAGAAAGACAUUAUUUUCUUUCUUUAUUUUCCUCCUUAUUUGGAUGCAGUAUUAAAAAAAAAAACAUGAUUUUUAUUGCAGUUUGUACCAAGUUAGACAUCAGACACCUGGCCUGAUUCCUAUUGCGAUUAUGCAGCAUUGGCUUGGGAGAGGGGGGGCUAUUCUCUCUCUCUCUCUCUCUCUCUCUCUCUGUCUCUCUCUCUCUCUCUGUCUCUCUCUCUCUCUCUCUCUCUCUCUCAGGCCGAUCGAGGGCAGAGUUAAGGCUGCACGGGGAACAGAACCUGUUCUGACAGACACUUAGCCAUAUUUAUGACCUCAGGCAGUUACUAUCAAAGUAUUCAACCAGACAUGCCAUCCUUAAUCCUUAGGGAGGGGUUCAGUUCGGCCUCUAUUCAUGAGAUCGUAAGCAAAUUCAUAACUAACCUCAGAAGAAAAUACAUAUUCCCAAAAAAAACACAUCCACGCCACUCUCUCACACACACUUUUGAUAUGAACUACUUUAUCCCAGGAAUGACUUGGAGCAAGCCAAAUAACUCACACCUUUCAAAUGGAUUUGGGAAUUCAAUGGGUUUUUCCCUUUUUAUUUUAGGUUUAGGAUUUAGUUUUUUUCCAUGUUGCAGGAAUACAUAUUGGACUUGUGUUUCCGACCGCUGAUAACGGGUUCAACGAAAUGAAUGAUGUCACUUCCCAGGUCCAGUCAGACUUUAGAGAGGGGGACUCGAUCUGAAUGUAUUGCCUCCAACAGAAGGACUGACGCGUCUGACGUCAGGGACUUAACCGCCAUCACGCUUCUGGUUCGGGAGUUUUUGUUGACAGUUCCACUGCUUUAUGAAGCAUUUAGAAAGGCUAAUCGCCCACCCUUUUAUGAUUACUAUUAUUAUUGGUUGUUAAUAUAGAAUUCCCAAAAUACAGGAUUUAAAACUUUGUAUCAGAUCAGCUCCAGAGCCGGUGGUCGAUAUUAACUCGGGCCUGGGCGGAGUUGUGUUACAUUGUUUUGUUGUAAUUGAGGUAACACUUUUUGAUAAAAUGCUGUUUUUGUUAUUGAAGAUAUAACAGCCAUGAUGACAAAAAAAAUCAAGCAUUUUAGAGCGUUUUUAAAAGAAUCAUUAUCACACCCCUUUGCAAAAUUUCCAAAGAUUGUCCAGAUUUUGAAACGACUUGAAGCCAUGUGGUAGCAAUGCAUUUUUUAAAGCAUUUGUAAAACAGGGACAGGAGCAAACAAUUUCGUUGCCCUUCGGAAAAAAAAUUAUCUCGACUUUUGACCCAUUCAACAAAACACAAAAAAAACGAAUUAUCUCUACCUAUCAGUUUGAAGAUCUUUCAAUGUCUUUUUUUGUAUCGUCUGCCAAUUUCUUAGAGCUAAAGAAAAUGCAAGAACCUUGAAAUGCUCAAAAACCCAGCAUAAUGCCUUAGAUCUCGUCCGUGCUCGUUCGUGUACUUUAUGAAGCUGACUGUAUAGCGUGGGGGUCCUGUUGGAGGGGGGUUCCCCCGGGGGCUCCAGCUGCCCGAGGGGCCGGACGCACCGGACGCACGGGGCCACACUAUACCUUGUUCUCUUUUUCUUUGCUCAGUUUCAUUUUUGUUUGUGUUGGUUUGAGGAAUUUUUAUUUCACGGAUUUUUUUUUCUUUUUUGAAAUGCGCACGCAGAGAAAGGAGGAGUGUGUGUUGGGGAUAUUGAAGCAAUAUGGCAUAUGUGAAUAACAUGGACUUUUUCCCGGGAAGCUUAUUGUUGCGCGGUUCCGACUUUUAUUUUAUUUUAUUUCUUCUUUCUGCGUCGUCACAGAGACCCCCAGUAUACCCCCAGUAUACACCCCCGCAUCAUCCACAUGUGUAACCUUUUAGUGUGAGCGUUUUAUGCAAAAGUUAGAUCAUAGGCCUACAAGAGAAGUUAAAACCACAGUUAUGCAAGUUGUGAACUAAUAUGGCUUCGCUGAUGCUAUUUGCCUUGUAAAUAAAGAAUUCUGUUAUUGCAACAUUUAAA